rnacentral:rRNA from 1 species
CCUACGGGAGGCAGCAGUGAGGAAUAUUGGUCAAUGGUCGGGAGACUGAACCAGCCAAGCCGCGUGAGGGAUGAAGGUACAGAGUAUCGUAAACCUCUUUUGUCAGGGAACAAAGGCGGGGACGCGUCCCCGGAUGAGUGUACCUGAAGAAAAAGCAUCGGCUAACUCCGUGCCAGCAGCCGCGGUAAUACGGAGGAUGCGAGCGGUAUCCGGAUUUAUUGGGGUUAAAGGGGGCGCAUGCGGUCUGUUAAGUCAGCGGUGAAAGCCCGGGGCGCAACCCCGGCCCUGCCGUUGAAACUGGCAGUCUCGAGUUGGAGAGAAGGAUGCGGAAUGCGCGGUGUAGCGGUGAAAUGCAUAGAUAUCGCGCAGAACUCCGAUUGCGAAGGCAGCAUGCCGGCUCCACACUGACGCUGAGGCACGAAAGCGUGGGUAUCGAACAGGAUUAGAUACCCCUGUAGUC